AAAAAUGCCACUAACAAAAGAUUGGUGACACAUUUCACUAUUAGUUCUCGCAAACUUACCUCUAGGAUCUACUUCACGGGAGAUCUUAAUCGCAUCCGAGGUAGCAAGAUCUUGGUUGGCAGGGGAUACUGCCAAAAUGAUGCAAUUGGGCUGAAG